GGAGGCGGCGGGGCCCGGCGGUGGCUUCCUCAGGGUCGCCGUGAGGGGGCGCGAGGAGCAGCGUGACGGGAUUAACCGCCGCGGGCUGUUGGGGAGUGACCGUUAACGGACAAACCGUUAUCUGCCGUGCCCGAACGCUUUUUAAAAACAACAAAAAAAAUUCCGUUUCUGAAGGGAGAGCACCUCUUGGCCGUGGUGGCAGAGCGGGAAGGUGACACAAAGGUGUGGGGAGCAGAGGAAUGAUUUUCAGAAGGAAUCUAUGCAGUGAACAUGACCAACCACUGAGCUGCCUGACGCUACUACCUCAACUCUGUUGUUCAUGAGAUUAAGUUCUCUUCCUACUUCACUGAGCAGCAGCAGAAAACAUUACCAAGAAAGCCUUUUCAACAACCUGCCCCCACCUGACAAACUUUCUGCUUCACUUCAUACGGAGUGCUUGGCUCUAGGUCUCCUUGCAGAAAAAGAAUGGCUAUUAGGUGAAAAGGUCUAACAGACAAAAAACACAGACAUGUGGAACCAGCUAUGACAGUGCAGAAGGACUGACAUUCUGCAAGAUGCUGUAUGACCUGUCUUCUGUAGCUGCUACUCGGCAAAGAUACGUAUAUCUGGCUGAUCUCAGAGCCUAUAGACCAUGUCUGUAACUGCUGUAUUUGAUAACUGUUUGAUGCUCUUGAACCUGUGCAACUGCAGAUGGACCUUGUCAGGCAGCCUGAGGAAUGUCUGUGCCAGCUGUACUCUG